CCUACGGGGGGCAGCAGUGAGGAAUAUUGGUCAAUGGACGCAAGUCUGAACCAGCCAUGCCGCGUGCAGGAAGACGGCUCUAUGAGUUGUAAACUGCUUUUGUACGAGGAUAAACGGAGAUACGCGUAGCUGACUGCAAGUAUCGUACGAAUAAGGAUCGGCUAACUCCGUGCCAGCAGCCGCGGUAAUACGGAGGUGUCAAGCGUUAUCCGGAUUUAUUGGGUUUAAAGGGUGCGUAGGCGGUCGGUUAAGUUUGAGGUGAAAUCCCGCGGCUCAACUUCGGCAUUGCCUCUGAUACUGGUCGGCUAGAGCGUACCUGCGGUAGGCGGAAUGUAUGGUGUAGCGGUGAAAUGCUU
rnacentral:rRNA from 1 species